AUGAGAGGAACACUGAAAAAGAAGCUGAAAGACACCAAAGUAGAGCAUGAGAAACCUUUGGAGGUGUCCAAGGCAGAGGAUGUGAAAGCUAUUGAGAGAAAGAAACUUAUGAUCAAAGAGCUUUUUGACAGGCUUGUUAAGUAUGGCCAAGAGGUCAAAGAGUUCGGAGCCCCAUCAGAGGUGAAUCAGAAGGUGGAAAUCCUUGAAUGA